GGGAAGGGUAGAAAUGAAACCCAGAGGGAGGGGAGGGGUCAGUGUGGGAAGGAGAAGUUCUCUCCUGGUCUGACUGUGGCAUGAAAGGAAGGGUGAGUUCUGACUGGGGGACACGAGUCCCUGUCUGAUUCUAUUGUUGAGGUGAUGUGGGUUCUCUUUAGAUAAAUCUUGCUUCCAGCCACUGUUUCAGUUCGAGGACAUGCAGGAAAUCAUUCAGAACUUUGUGCGGGUUCAUGUGGAUGCCCCUGGAAUGGAAGAGGGAGCCCCUGUGUUCCCUUUGGGAUAUCAGUACCCAUCUCUGGACCAGCUUGCAGACAUGAUCCCUUGCGUCCUGCAGUACCUAAAGUGAGAGGCCUGGGAACCCCUCCAAACCAGAGUUCUCUUUCCAGCACAAGGAGACCCUUAGAACUUCCAGGUUCACCGUGGUUCCUGAGCCAGUUUCAGCUUCUGAACUCAAUAUAUCUUCUUCCUUCAUGCUCCCGCCUUGAUUAUUGAGAAAAGGUGGUGGGUUUGGAAAAUUGGCCAGAGUCAACAGAAUAGCCCUAAUGGGUGGAGGGAAGGAAAAGGGUCUAUGCUUGGCCCUGCCUCAGGCUAAGGAGGGCCUUCUCUGAUCAGAAAGUCAGGGAGGAAUGAAAGGGGGUGACAUAAUCCCUGAGGAACCAGAUAGACCUGUCUCUUUCUCUCCCACUCCCCUCUCCUUCAUGCCCACACCUGGUGGAUGGGGAGCUCUGCGGGUGAGAGAGAG
rnacentral:lncRNA from 1 species